rnacentral:lncRNA from 1 species
CGGCUCUCUGAAGUCCUCAGAGCACUGAUCGAGCCACGCUCGUAAGAUUGAUGCUAUUGCAUUCCUGAGUACUGUUUUGGAUUCAGAGGAAUUCUGGCUCCCAACUUCUUCACAGCUUGAGGUCUCCAGGUUUCCAUACCUGUCAAGGAGAAGCUCCAGUACUUCCUUAGUAGAAGCAAAGCCCCUGUAUGUUGAGAGAAAGAUACUGAUGUAGGUAAAAUCAUUAUCCCCAAAAGCUGUCAGAAGGUUCUCCACAAGUUUCUCCAAAGUUCCAGCCUUUAUUGUCCUGAUCUUACAUGUUUCAUACUGGCUGACAGUAUGUCCCGGAGGUAACUGGUCCCCUUCAACCCCGAGCCACCUCGCUCCUUUGUUGGCAGCUUGCUGAAUCUGCACUCUUUUCAGGGUGACAUGGUAAACAGCUCCCUCUUCCACCUCUUCACCCCAGUCCUGAAUUGAGCUCAUUUUAGCUUUCCACGGCAAUCUCAUUCUCAGUUCCUUCCCGGGCGCCUCGACGGGGCAUGCCGCAGCCGCCGGGCGCCGACGCCGCCGCUCCGCCCCGUCAGCGGCCGCCGCCGCGGGCCGGCCCGAGCCGCGCGGCCCCUGGGCUCCGCUCCGCUCCGCGCGGGAGGCGGGAGGGCGGGCGGCAGCGCCAGGCCCCGCCUCGGCCCGGCCCCGAGGUGCCCGGCCCCGCCGGGGGCUUCCUGUUGGCGGCGAGCGGCCCCGGGCCGAGCCGCGGCGGGGCCGAGGGAAGCGCCGUUUGCCUCCGCGGAGCGCGAGGUGCGGCACGGCCGCGUGGUGCGGGGACGCGCCGGGCGGGAUCAUGGCAGCCGCGCGAGCGUGACAGCAUCCAUCCGAGCGGCGCGGGGACAAAGGGCUCGGCGGGACCCCGCGGCCUCGGGGGCAGGGCGGCAGGGCAGGAGGGCCGUCUCCGAGCCGUUCGGGUGUAAAACAGACGCGCAGACGGGUGCGCGUGGCUGGGUUUGGAGACGGGUUUCUCUUCAGAAACUUACUGCUACAAGUUGCGAAGUAAGGAAAUGAAACGGAGCAGUCAGCAAAGCGCGGCUGCCGGCGGUGCCCUGCUCGCUGAGGUGCCAACGGCACGCAGCCGGCCCGGGGCCGAGCGGGUGGCACCGGCGGCAGCCGGAGAACCUCCGCAGGGUCGGACGCGGGGGAGUGGGACUGAGGUCUCGGUUGGGCGAGAUGAGGUUUAGCGUGAUGGGGGAGGCGUUCCGACCCAUCUGACCUGCACGACGGACGUUAGGAAACAAAUCCUGGCCACUCUCACCUCAAGAAAUGACUCCUCCUGCUCCUACCCACGCAACGUGAGAACACGCAGUGAUGGUCUCUUUGGUCAUCCCAAGGCCGACCAUCAUAGCGACAGCCACAGCCCUCCAGGAGACUGCUGGCUGCGCCUCCACCGAGUCCUCUGGACGACAGUGCAGUGUUAAGUUUGAGCAUACAGAGCAGGAGGCCCUGCCCGGUACACUGCCCUGCAUGACACGGCUCGGUGCUUCUGUCAUUGCUAAUGAGCAGAUGAGACCUGUGCCUGGGAACAGUGCUUCCAGCCCAGCCUCUGGGGCACCUGUCAGCUACCCAGCAAGAAAAGCUUCUCAUACUGAUGCUGUAUCAGCUCUUUAUUUAUUUCCCACCUCCCAUCUCAAUGAAGACUAAAAGCAAAACAUCCUCCGUUUUCUGAUGUGGGAGUCCCUUGCUUGCAGACAAGCCUGCCCACGUUGUCAAGCACUGCUCUGCCCACACCUUACAAGCACGAGCUGCUAACACGAGGAUCUCAAAAUACCUUAAAAAAACUACUUUAGGUUGGCUCUCAGGCUGGCUGUGGUGCCACCUGCUCUCGUUUGGUUUUCCUUCCUUUUUGGACUUAGCCAAGUUAGUGAAAGAGCUAAGAAUCGAAGCAGAGAGUUCCACUUUCCUGAAGCUGAGCUCCAACAAGCAGCGUUUUGACAUCUUUAUACACGAGUGUUACUACCAAUUACCUCAGGAGCCAUGCUGGUUCAGAGAGACUUGCAGCUGGUAAUAUGAGGAAGCGUAUGAAAGCAAGGAGCAUUAUUUUAAGCCAUGAAACCGAGAUUGAGCUGUGUUGUUACGGGUGAACAGAUGUGAUUAUUCUGCAGGCUGUGCAAUUAGUUUGUUUGUGUAAUACCGAAGUAAUCCAGAAUGUGCUGAGGCAGAUACGGACUUAUUCAUCUGACUACAAUUUAUUGUACCCUACAAAUUAAAGUCUAGAUUUUCCAAUGUCCCUCGGCUUCUCCUGGAAAAACUGCAUGCAGCCUUCUGAAUGCCUCACAUUUUGCAAAUGGUUUUCCACAUAAUAAUUUUUAGGUGCAAAAAAGGAGUCUGCACUGGAUUCAUGUAGCUUGCCCAGCAGGCAUGCAAGCAUUUUCAGAACAAAUUGCUAUUGAACAGGACAAGCAUAUGUUAGCAAAGGAAAAUGGAUAUCCAGCUACAAGGGAUACAGCAGUAAAGCCAAAUAAUUAUCCUGUACUGAAAGGAUUAUCAUGAUUUUCUGGUGCCACGUAAGUACACCAGUGCCACCACCAUUACUUUGGAGAGCACUCAUACACACACACACAUAAAAAAAGGGGUAGUUUUUUUCUAACUGCUUCUCUAAAAGCAAGAAAAUGGCAGUGAGUUAAAACAUUGGGAAGAAGCACAAACAUUUGACCCAAUUUAGCUUCCAUAGCAUUACAGAUUUCAGAGUAGGUCCCUGGGGAACACCUUCUCAUGGAGGGACAAGCUCAGCACUUUCCAUCCAAGGUGGGGCAUAAGCCCUCUCACAGAUGGCAUUUCCAAGCUCUCUUGGUCACCAGCAAGUGACAGACAGGCUGUUAGGAAGGAGUGCCAGAUGAACUCAUUGAGCUUCCCCAGCUCAACAGAUUUCACAGUGAGCCUUUAAGAUGGUACAUAUCCAGUGGGACACUCGGAUCUGUUGUGUCCUCAGACAACUGACCUGGGAAGGAAAUAACAGAAUUGCCUUGAAGGAUAAAUUCAUUGUCUACACAAAGAGUUAUUGCUCUUUAAGGAAGAGGCAGUUAAGAAAAACCCUCUCAGUAUUAAGGUAGCAUAGCCCUUCUGGAAGCCUUCAGUAUUUACUUGAUCUAAAUCUGAAUCUAGUUAUUUUUUUUAUUUAUCCCCAUAAAUCAGUUUACACGAUUAAGCUGCUGGAAACUGUUUCCAUUAAAAGGUUUAGCUGGGAGGUGAAAACUGCAAGCAGGAUGGCCAGGAUAGCACACAGUGCAACUCACUCUGAGAAACUCACUUAAUCUUACUUCACUCCCUACCUUGCAUACCAGUUAGAAAAGCAUUCAAGCACUAGCAUUACUUUAGCACAAGAAACAUUCACAUCAUAAAUGUGGACAAAUAAAGUCUUAAAUUUUUUCAGUGAACUGGAGCCUAGACGCUGAAAGCAAGACAGACUGCAGGCUUCAACCACCACAGGACUGAGUCUUCUCCCCACAAGCAUUGCACCCAACAUUUCAUUGCAGAGUCCAGCAAUCACAUUUUCAGUCAUCAGUUUUUACCCACACGUGCCUGUUUAUGCACAUACGUAUUUGUUUUGGUCUUGUAGAGUGUAAGGAAUACACUCAGUCUAGACUCCUAAAACUCUACCUUAGACGCAAACACGGACUAAUGCUGGAAAGGGGAGAAAAGCACACAUUGUACUUUACUUCCAUUUGGUCGCGUUCUAAGACAAUUAUGUAGUGUUCAACAGCUUAUUUGAGAUCAGGAGAUCAUCAAAAAGCACAGGAAGACAUGAAGACAAAGCAGCCUCUGGUUAAUCUAAAAGAUGUUCUGUAAAGGAUUCAAGGACAGCAGGAAGCAUUAAAAAGUAAAGAACAGCCUGCAACUUGGUUCACCAGAACUGCCGUAUUGCUGUCAGCAGACCUGAAUCAUGAAACUGAUCUGUACCAAUGAACCACACUCGUGGUCACAUUGUGUUACAUUUGCAAAUCACGUUCACAUGCAGUAAUGACACUGCUGCCAUAAUCAGGCCCUGCGUCUGCCCUUUCUACAGAAUCAGAAUUGUUCCUCUCGCACACCUGAGUGCAUCCUCCCUCUCCCUCAAAGCAAGAAAGAAAUACAAAUUGUGAAUGCAACCUUACACUUCUCACAGUGAAAUGUUAUCUAAGAAAUACUUCAGGGCCUGGAAAAUUCUCAAACUGCAGAUCAUUGAUCGCUUACAGCCCAACCAGAACUUCUCCAUCAUCCACAGAGAAAUAAGGCAGUCAGAGAGUGAUGAUUUUUCCUUGUUUUCAGCUGUUGCUACAGCUGGCAUGCAGGCGCUUUCGUGAGAAGACAAAGCAAAAGACCUACAAACCAGCUGGGAAUUAGGAAAGAUUAGUCUUAUUGCUUCUGCUAGAGGCCUAACAGAAGGUGCAGAGGAAACAGAAGUCAGAGAUAGCCAAGAAAAGAAAACAUUCAGAAGAGUGAAAGAAAAGGGCAAAGUAACCAGGUGAUGUAAGAAUCAAAGCAGCGUCUGCAUGAGAAAGGAGUCAUGUAGCUAAAAGAAAAGGAGGCAGGUACCAGAGAGCUGCACACCUUUAGGCUGCCACGGUGUGCAACUGUAAAUGGGAGGAAAGGAUUUCACCAGACGAUCUUUGUGUUCGUUCUGUAGAAAAUACCAGUCUAUGGUGUAGAAAAAAGCACGUUCAAGGAGACACCCCAGCAAUGGGUGGUGCGUCAAAUGUGCGUGCCUACAAAAGGAAAUAAAUACUGCUUCUAUUAAGACUAUCUCAUUAGUUAUUAUUGGUCUGGCUUCUUUAUAACCACAUUUAGUUCUUGCUUUAUGUUUAUGGCCACAUGCCCUCUUUUGAUAACUAACAGGUGCUGCAGUUCUUGAGGUUGAAGCUAUUUUAAAAGCUAAGAAAAUUCACAUGCAGGUGAGCUACAAAAGCUACACAAUGCAGAGACUGUGGAAAUGCCAACACAAACCAGUUUCAUAUUGCUUUAAUGAUUGUGGUCUCUGAACUGUAGUUUGGCUGCUGUUUACUACAGCUACCAUAUGAAAAUCACCCGCUAAUUCUUCUUUACAUCGAGUACACCUCAGUUCCUGCUUUCCAGUCAAUGAUACAGCUUAUCGGGGAGUCCUUUGGAUCAGCUCAACAUCCAAUGUGCUACAAUCUUACCUGUGCUAGAGGUCCUUGACCUCUCAGAGCAGCUCUCAGCCCUACACCUAAUGCAGUCAUUUCCAUCAGUAGGGUGGCAGAGCUGUGCACAUACCACGUGCUGAUGUAAAGGUAACAGAGGUGAGUCAGGUCCUCUGUCUUCCUCAUCUGAAAAUAAAUGCAGUUGGAUAUUUAUAUUCUUUAAAUAAUUGACAUGCACUGUCACUAUAUGCCAGCCAUGAAGAAAAACUGUUGGGAUCAAAAAUUAAAUUUGAAUGUCAAACCACUAACCAAUCAAAGCAACGUUAGAUUACAUACUGCAUGCCUGAUCUUCCACUGCCUGCAGCCUUUGCAAUCCUUACUCCUGAGUGAAAAGGGAAAAACAGCAUUCAACACUCAGC